AAACAGACCAGUGUAUUUGGGAAAAAUACACGAGCUUACAAUCAAAUGAUAUUUUUUAUCGAAUUCCAAAAAUUAUCGAUUUGAAAAGUAACACAGCAUAACAAUAUUACAUGCAACUUCCUUUUUAAGAAAAAACAAAAAGUUUAAACUUUAAAACGUGGCAGAAAAUAGAGCGCCAACAUACCUUUCAUCGUGCUCGAAAUCCGCCAUCUUGAAGAAAAUAUCCAAAAUAAUGCAUUUCGGUCGUAGUGCGAUCACCGCCUGCAUGCCGGUCGGGUAACAGAUCUAUGGUGGCCCAGCAGCGCCAUAGCAUUUUCCUAUAUUUUUAUUUAAUUAAUUACAAUACACACUAGCAAAGUAAAAACAUAUUAAGAUUAAAUUUAAAAUAAAAAAGAAACAAAAUAAAAACAAAUUAAUUAAAACUAAAACUGAAUAAAAAUAAAAUGAAAAUUCCACAUGGCCCAUGAGCGCCAUAGCAUUUUCCUAUAUUUUUAUUUAAUUAAUUUUGAUUUUAAAUACAUUUUUUAAUAAAAAUACAAUACACACUAGCAAAGUAAAAACAUAUUAAGAUUAAAUUUAAAAUAAAAAAAACAACAAAAUAAAAACAAAUUAAAAUCAAAACUGAAUAAAAAUAAAAUAAAAAUUCCACAUGGCCCAUGAGCGCCAUAGACCAGAAUUGGGUCAUUCCAGAAAAGAUCCAUACCCCCCCUCCCUUCGGAGGAAAUCGAAAAUAACCCCCUCCCCCCUUCGGACAUCCUUGAAUGGUUCAUCCUCCCCCCCUCUCCGGACAUCCAAGCCCAAAAUUACCCCCCUCCCCUUCGGGCAUCCACUAUUUCUAAAUUUUUCUAAAGGCUACCUCGCCGUUUGAAAACGUCACCGAAAAUUAGACUACGUUCAAACUACGCGCGAGCGAACUAAUGCGGGCAGAAUUUACGUGUGUUCAUACUACCGCCAUUACAGUUUGUUUACAAAUUGAAUUAGCACUCGUGUAAACCCAAAAUAUUUCAAAUAGACCCAAGAAAUUUGACUGAAAAGCAUUCAAGUUUACACGUUUGUGUUCACACGAAGCUAUCAAGCGCUCCGCCGUUUUCACCUCGCUCCGUUUAGAAACCGUGCUCAAAUUGUUACGGCAAAAGUGACGUGAAACUGUGAAAGUUUUCAAACGAUUUGCUCCAGCGUAGAGUGAAUUAGCGAUGGCUUAUUGUGACUUUUCUACGCUGUUCUCAAAUAGCUCUGGCGUGGCGGAACACUUGGCGGCUUCUUGUGACUUGCGAACACAAACAGGUGGCAGGUUUUGUCGGAUAAUUUGCAGAAAUUCACUUCGAAAUUUGUUCAAGUAAAAUCCGGACUGAAAUUCGAUGUAACUUGCGACUGAUUGACAAGCGUUGCUGUGUUUACUUACAUGUUAAUGCAUUUUUUAGUAUUACUGCAUUCCUUAACCUCGCCCUUAAUAUGAAAGCCAUUUCUAUUUUCUAGAUACGCACCUCGCAAGGAAGCUUUAUUGACUAUAUACUAAAACAAACUGUUUUGAGUUCAGUUCACAUAGCAGUCUCUUAACUCGAGCAACAGUUUAAUAACUAUUAUUUUUAACACUUGAAUAAUUCAAACUUAUAUAUAUACGAACGAG
rnacentral:lncRNA from 1 species